rnacentral:rRNA from 1 species
UACGGAGGGGACUAGCGUUGUUCGGAAUUACUGGGCGUAAAGCGCACGUAGGCGGAUUUGUAAGUCAGGGGUGAAAGCCCAGGGCUCAACCUUGGAACUGCCUUUGAUACUGACUGUCUUGAGUUCGGGAGAGGUGAGUGGAAUGCCGAGUGUAGAGGUGAAAUUCGUAGAUAUUCGGCGGAACACCAGUGGCGAAGGCGACUCACUGGCCCGAUACUGACGCUGAGGCGCGAAGGCGUGGGGAGCGAACGGG